rnacentral:rRNA from 1 species
UACAGAGGUCUCAAGCGUUGUUCGGAUUCAUUGGGCGUAAAGGGUGCGUAGGUGGCGCCGUAAGUCAGGUGUGAAAUUUCGGAGCUUAACUCCGAAACUGCAUUUGAUACUGCGGUGCUUGAGGACUGGAGAGGAGACUGGAAUUCACGGUGUAGCAGUGAAAUGCGUAGAUAUCGUGAGGAACAUCAGUGGCGAAGGCGGCCUGCUGGGCUGUUGCUGACGCUGAGGCGCGACAGCGUGGGGGAGCAAACAGG